rnacentral:rRNA from 1 species
AUAUUGCACAAUGGGGGAAACCCUGAUGCAGCGACGCCGCGUGGAGGAAGAAGGUUUUCGGAUUGUAAACUCCUGUCGUUAGGGACGAUAAUGACGGUACCUAACAAGAAAGCACCGGCUAACUACGUGCCAGCAGCCGCGGUAAAACGUAGGGUGCAAGCGUUGUCCGGAAUUACUGGGUGUAAAGGGAGCGCAGGCGGACCGGCAAGUUGGAAGUGAAAACUAUGGGCUCAACCCAUAAAUUGCUUUCAAAACUGCUGGCCUUGAGUAGUGCAGAGGUAGGCGGAAUUCCCGGUGUAGCGGUGGAAUGCGUAGAUAUCGGGAGGAACACCAGUGGCGAAGGCGGCCUACUGGGCACCAACUGACGCUGAGGCUCGAAAGUGUGGGUAGCAAACAGGAUUAGAUACCCUGGUAGUCCACACCGUAAACGAUGAUUACUAGGUGUUGGAGGAUUGACCCCUUCAGUGCCGCAGUUAACACAAUAAGUAAUCCACCUGGGGAGUACGACCGCAAGGUUGAAACUCAAAGGAAUUGACGGGGGCCCGCACAAGCAGUGGAGUAUGUGGUUUAAUUCGACGCAACGCGAAGAACCUUACCAAGUCUUGACAUCCCUUGACGAACAUAGAAAUAUGUUUUCUCUUCGGAGCAAGGAGACAGGUGGUGCAUGGUUGUCGUCAGCUCGUGUCGUGAGAUGUUGGGUUAAGUCCCGCAACGAGCGCAACCCUUAUUGCCAGUUACUACGAAAGAGGACUCUGGCGAGACUGCCGUUGACAAAACGGAGGAAGGUGGGGAUGACGUCAAAUCAUCAUGCCCUUUAUGACCUGGGCUACACACGUACUACAAUGGCGUUUAACAAAGAGAAGCAAGACCGCGAGGUGGAGCAAAACUCAAAAACAACGUCUCAGUUCAGAUUGCAGGCUGCAACUCGCCUGCAUGAAGUCGGAAUUGCUAGUAAUCGCGGAUCAGCAUGCCGCGGUGAAUACGUUCCCGGGCCUUGUACACACCGCCCGUCACACCAUGAGAGCCGGGGGGACCCGAAGUCGGUAGUCUAACCGCAAGGAGGACGCCGCCGAAGGUAAAACUGGUGAUUGGGGUGAAGUCGUAACAAGGUAGCCGUA